rnacentral:rRNA from 1 species
GAUGAACGCUGGCGGCGUGCUUAACACAUGCAAGUCGAACGGAAAGGCCCAAGCUUGCUUGGGUACUCGAGUGGCGAACGGGUGAGUAACACGUGGGUGAUCUGCCCUGCACUUCGGGAUAAGCCUGGGAAACUGGGUCUAAUACCGGAUAGGACCACAUUUUGGAUGGUGUGGUGGAAAGUUUUUCGGUGUGGGAUGAGCUCGCGGCCUAUCAGCUUGUUGGUGGGGUAAUGGCCUACCAAGGCGUCGACGGGUAGCCGGCAUGAGAGGGUGUACGGCCACAUUGGGACUGAGAUACGGCCCAGACUCCUACGGGAGGCAGCAGUGGGGAAUAUUGCACAAUGGGCGCAAGCCUGAUGCAGCGACGCCGCGUGGGGGAUGACGGCCUUCGGGUUGUAAACUCCUUUCGCUAGGGACGAAGCGUUAUGUGACGGUACCUGGAGAAGAAGCACCGGCUAACUACGUG